AUGAACGCUGGCGGCGUGCCUAAUACAUGCAAGUCGAGCGAACGGACGAGAAGCUUGCUUCUCUGAUGUUAGCGGCGGACGGGUGAGUAACACGUGGAUAACCUACCUAUAAGACUGGGAUAACUUCGGGAAACCGGAGCUAAUACCGGAUAAUAUUUUGAACCGCAUGGUUCAAAUGUGAAAGACGGUCUUGCUGUCACUUAUAGAUGGAUCCGCGCUGCAUUAGCUAGUUGGUAAGGUAACGGCUUACCAAGGCAACGAUGCAUAGCCGACCUGAGAGGGUGAUCGGCCACACUGGAACUGAGACACGGUCCAGACUCCUACGGGAGGCAGCAGUAGGGAAUCUUCCGCAAUGGGCGAAAGCCUGACGGAGCAACGCCGCGUGAGUGAUGAAGGUCUUCGGAUCGUAAAACUCUGUUAUUAGGGAAGAACAUAUGUGUAAGUAACUGUGCACAUCUUGACGGUACCUAAUCAGAAAGCCACGGCUAACUACGUG
rnacentral:rRNA from 1 species